AGAACAGACCCACUGCCUCCAUGUUAGACUACUGAUACUUCACCGGACUUAAAAUGUAAAGCCGGAUCUGUGAUUCUAGGAGAAAACAAAACAAACAACAGCAACAACAUCAAAAUUGCAAAUACUUGGUUAGCACAGACAGUUGGAAUGCUGCUGCUGCCGUGACGUGCGCCGUGUUCCUUUGCCAGACCCUUCCAUCAUGUGGUUUCUGCUUCGAAGCCAGCUGAUCAUGGCCUGCAGCUAUGCACCAAAAUAAAACUUCCCCCUCUUAAAGUGGUGUGUACCAGAGACCGGCUUGGCACUGAAGUCCUGCUGUGCUUGUUUCCAGUGGUUUUUACUCUAUCAGUGUAAUCAAGAAAAAUCAAGGACCGGAGGAGAAUGUGAUGAGUCAAGUCUUCAAUUCUAAUGCAGAGUGAAGAUGGGACAUUCCCCACCUCUGAGACCUGAGCUUUCCUUUCCCGUGGUCUUCACUCUCCUGCACUCUGUCAAGUAUUGAAAGAAGUUCAAUUUCAAUAACAAUUUUUUGUAACUGGUGGACAGAACAACAGUGUCAGUACAUAGAAAACAUGAUGCACAUAAUGUCUGGAUCACCAUAUUUUAGGCCAAAGUUGGGAGAACUAGGAUAGCUAAAGUAAAAUAGCAUCUCACUUUUGUCACAGGCUGCCUUGUGAGACUAAUGCUAUUGAUCUGAUAAAAUUUACAAACACAAUAAUCAUAAAUAAAAUCAAAGAGCUAAUCAAUUUGAGUACAUGAUAAAUUUUACAUUUCUGGAUGUGUAACAUAAGAUCCAUACUCAAUGAUGAGGAGAAUAAUUAUGUAAUGACAUGAUAUUUUUAAAUUGUUGUCUGUCUUUGUACUUGCUAAUAAUUUCCUUCACCUAUGAAAGUCUUUAUAGAAAGCUAAGCAUUCGGUUUUCUUGCUUUAGGAAGAGAUAAAGUCACAGAAGACAGAGGGAAAAAAAAGCACAUUCGUUCUUGAGUUUUGAUCUUCAAAGAGCCACUUCAAAGUGAUGGUCAGGAAUUAUGGCUCCCUUUUACAUUCUACACUCUAUCAAGAAAAAUAGAAUUGGAAGAGAAAUCACUGUGUCAUAGAUAAGGUAGAUGCCGAAAGAGAGAGGCAUUAGAAGCCAUUGCUUGCUAAGAUUAGGCCUAGAUAAAGCACUGGUAUUUCAAGGCAUUUGAACACAGAUAACUUGUCUUUCCUUUUCUGAAUAAAACUUAGGGACCCAGCGAAGAAGGUCUGUGAGCUAUGUUUGUUGGGAUAAUUAGAUGAAGUUAAGGAGUUUCAUUUAUCCCAAUAUGGUUCCCAAAUAAAAUGAAGUAUGUCUCUAACUAAGUCAGAGAUGAGCCAAGAGGUAUUUCUAAAGAGACUUUGAAGUUGGGAAAUGUCUACUUUAAUUGAACCUACAAGUACUAAUAUUUGUAGACUUUAAAGACAAAAGAGAGCAUUAAGUUUUUGCUUAAAUGGUUUUACUCCCAGGCCUGGCUCAGCCCUUUGAAAUCUAAUAUAAGACUACCUAAAAACUAUGAUAAAGCUUAAAAUGAUUAGUAUUAUGCUUCUACUGUUGGAUUGAAUGGGAUAAUAAGUAAAAGGUUUUGAUAGUGCAUAUUUAGAAGAUUAGAUUAAGCUUCCGCUAUUUUAUAGCAAUAAGGCUUCCUUUCCCAGAGACUAAUGAAAAUUGAUUAACAAAUGGAAUGGGAGGUAGGGGUAAACCUGCCAGGAUUUAAAGUGCUGGGUACCUGAGAAAGAGCCAAGUUUUAUACCGCUGAUUCCUGCCCUCCACUGAGGAAGCUAUGUCAGAAAUCACUGGCAGGACACCUAUACAAGUUUUCCAAGGAUCUAAAUUUUCGUUAUUUUCAGGGUAACGUCUAGGAAGGUGCCAAAUAAGAUAUUAGGAAACAAACUCUGAAGACAGAAGCCCUUAGACAAAUGUGGAAGUCACUGUGUCCUUGGAGUAGCUUUGAAAAAGAGGAAGAAGAUACAUACAAGUAAUAGCAAAGUAAAUGGAAUAUUAGCUCCCCUAGGUGCAUGGGGUCUUGGGAUGCAAUGGUUCUUGGACUCCAGAAGAAUGCAAAUAGAUUUUCAAAAGCUAAUCUUGCUUUGAUGACUUGUCAAGAGAAAUAUUUCCAUGUACUUUACAUGAACUAAAAUCAAGGGUUAGAUGUGAGCAAAAACACCUCAAUGGAUGCUCAGAGGAUAGGUAAUAACCCAGCCAAAUGUGCCAUUACACUUGGAUACUCAUUCUCCUGAUCUGAGAACACAUCCCAGAGAUAAUGAGAGGGAGUAUGCAGGGAAAAUUGAUGAGUUAUCUAAGAUUAAGUCUCACUAGAAGGAAGAGUAUGGAUUGAGAAUUGAGUGAUUUGAUGCAAAAUUAGAAGUAUAUUUCUUAACCAAUUGAGUUUAUGGGAUGGGAUUUAAAAUGCUUCUUAUUUACAAGUUAUUUUACAGUUUUUAAAGUAUAUUCUUUUAUUUCAAGUGCAUAGCAGCAGCAAUAAAUUGUGAUAAAACAUGUUUACACUGUAAAGAUUAAAAUGCAGACUUAGAUAUUGAGGCUACCUGAAAUUAGAUAUUUUAAAUGCCUCCAUAAUUAGAAUUACUGCAAGUUUCAAAAUUUUAGAAUAUUCCCUGAGUCUGAAAUGUAGGCCUUAAUGUUAUUCAGGCUUUUCUGAUAAAUAGCUAUUUUAGAUCAGAAUAAUCUUAAAAAUCAGUAUAAUAAUCAAUUAUUUUGCUCUAGAUUCGGGAGUUAGACACCAGAAAUCAACUCUGGUUUUCACACUGCCAUUAAGAGGCUCUUUAAAAAGAUCAUUUAUUUGCUAUUGUCACUUACUUAUAUUUAUAUUUUUUGUGAAAAUUUCAAGGUUGAAAUAUAAAUGACUUUAUCAUAGAUAAUUGUUAUUUCCUAUUUUAUACUUUAAAAAAUUCUUUUCUAAAGCAAGGAAAUUUUAUUUAGUUCUAGUAACUGUAAGUCUAGUAAACUGGUAAGUAUAAUUUAUGUAAGGUGAA